GGGUUCCAAUAGCUAAAUGUAGUGUUAAUAAGUGGGGGUUGGUUGGAAGAGGUAGGUCACUGGGGGUGUGACCUAGUAGAGUGGAUCUGCCUCCCCAUUUUCUCCUCUUCACUCUCUGCUACCUGUUUGUCAUGCCCUGAGCAGCUCUCCUCUGCUGUGCCCCUCUGCCCACUAUGGACUGAAACAUGAACCAAAACAAACCUCUCCUCCCUUAAAUUCAUCUCUUUCUGAUGUUGGCAGAGACUCAAGCGAGAAACUUUCCAGGCAUUUGGAAGCUGUCACCUUUUGUUUCAAGAGUAUGGGGCAAGAGAUGUGGAGCAACAUUUCCCAGAGAGCCGCUACUCCCCAGUUCUGCCCUGGACACCAGGAGGAGACUGAGCCAGACUCACGAGGAGCCCUGGUGGGCAUAGACUAACAUCAACCGUAGUAUCCAGGACAGUGGUGUGACACUUGUCCUAUGGACAGCUGGGUUCAAGGCUUUUGUGUCACUGUUGGGCAGGGGGAGCUUUCCCGUCCAUGGGUCUGGAAGACAACAGAAUAUAAAAACCACUGUUGCAACCAUGUUAUGGACCUGAAUGGAAAAUCUGGGAAUGGAGCAAGCAGAGCUGAGAGAAAAAACUGGAU
ensembl:lncRNA